AACUCCGGGAAACCGGGGCUAAUACCGGAUAAUAUUUUGAACCGCAUGGUUCAAUAGUGAAAGACGGUUUCGGCUGUCACUUAUAGAUGGACCCGCGCCGUAUUAGCUAGUUGGUAAGGUAACGGCUUACCAAGGCGACGAUACGUAGCCGACCUGAGAGGGUGAUCGGCCACACUGGAACUGAGACACGGUCCAGACUCCUACGGGAGGCAGCAGUAGGGAAUCUUCCGCAAUGGGCGAAAGCCUGACGGAGCAACGCCGCGUGAGUGAUGAAGGUCUUCGGAUCGUAAAACUCUGUUGUUAGGGAAGAACAAAUUUGUUAGUAACUGAACAAGUCUUGACGGUACCUAACCAGAAAGCCACGGCUAACUACGUGCCAGCAGCCGCGGUAAUACGUAGGUGGCAAGCGUUAUCCGGAAUUAUUGGGCGUAAAGCGCGCGUAGGCGGUUUCUUAAGUCUGAUGUGAAAGCCCACGGCUCAACCGUGGAGGGUCAUUGGAAACUGGGAAACUUGAGUGCAGAAGAGGAGAGUGGAAUUCCAUGUGUAGCGGUGAAAUGCGCAGAGAUAUGGAGGAACACCAGUGGCGAAGGCGGCUCUCUGGUCUGUAACUGACGCUGAUGUGCGAAAGCGUGGGGAUCAAACAGGAUUAGAUACCCUGGUAGUCCACGCCGUAAACGAUGAGUGCUAAGUGUUAGGGGGUUUCCGCCCCUUAGUGCUGCA
rnacentral:rRNA from 1 species